UACGUAGGGGGGCAAGCGUUGUCCGGAUUUAUUGGGCGUAAAGAGCGUGUAGGCGGUUAUGCAGGUCCGCUGUGAAAACUGGAGGCUUAACCUCCAGACGUCGGUGGAAACCGUAUGACUAGAGUCCGGAAGAGGAGAGUGGAAUUCCUGGUGUAGCGGUGAAAUGCGCAGAUAUCAGGAAGAACACCCGUGGCGAAGGCGGCUCUCUGGUACGUGACUGACGCUGAGACGCGAAAAGCGUGGGGGAGCGAACAGG
rnacentral:rRNA from 1 species